GAAAUGCGAUAAGUAGUGUGAAUUGCAGAAUUCAGUGAAUCAUCGAAUCUUUGAACGCACAUUGCGCCCUAUGGUAUUCCGUAGGGCAUGCCUGUUCGAGCGUCAUUUAAACCCUCAAGCUCUGCUUGGUGUUGGGUGUUUGUCCUGCCUUUGUGGGUGGACUCGCCUUAAAGAUAUUGGCAGCUGAUUGGUAGGCUUCGAGCGCAGUACAUGAGCCCGGAAUAGCCCUAUUAUUGGCGUCCACAAGCCCUCUUCAAUCUUGACCUCGGAUCAGGUAGGGAUACCCGCUGAACUUAA
rnacentral:misc_RNA from 1 species